CAUUACUUAGACUUCUCAGAUCUGUUCCAUUUACACUUUUUGCUCUCUUAUAGCCAUCCACUCAAAAUUGUUAAUAACAGCAAUUAAUAAUUCUGUAAUAUUAAUAUUAUUUCCCGUGUGAAGCAAGCAUACAGUGUUUUCACAUACAGCAUCUCAUCUGAGGUCUCGAUAGUUCUGUGAGGUGGGUACCCACCCUUUUUUUUACGGACUGGACUGGAUAACAGACUCAGAGAAGUAAUGGGUUUGUUGAAGAUAAUACAGUCGGUGAAACUAGGCUCUGACCCUGGAACCGCACAUAGCAAUCUAAUGUUCCAGCACCGCGACUAUCUCUGUAAAGGAAGUGGAUAGAAGGUAGCCAGAGAGGAAGUGAGUUGCGACCAUAAUAUUGAGUCCUCCAAAGGGCCACAUCCACAGGAAGAAAUCCAUCCACAUUCGGGUUAGAAAAGAGGGAAGUUUAUCAGUCAUAGUCUGGCUCUAGUUUCUCUCUUCUGCAAGAUUAUGGUUACAACCUUCUGUGGUUAUCCCCAACCAAAGAUAGCAACAUAAAAACUGCUCCUGUAAGGUAACACUUCUGUGCUUGAAUGAAAUGAAUAAAUCCUGAAAAUAUAUACUUUCAAUGCCUAUGAGAUUUAUAUGCCCAGAUGUGAGUAGUGUCUUAGGUAUUCAGCCCUGCUUUACCCAGAUACUUUUGGAAUGAACUGCUAUAGCUGUCUCUCUUGUACCCCUUUAUCUUACCUGAUCUGAAUGGAUGCAGCAAGCAUAAACAUCAUGUAAUGUGAUUGCCUGGAAUUAAUUAUUACAAGAAGAGUUCAUGGCCCAUGCCAGGACACACAGUUUCAUCCUUGGACAUUUGAACUAUAAUGUUUUUUCUAAUGCCUUAAUUAGUCAUUUGGAAAUAUAGUGUAUCAUUCAGUGCUUACUAGAAAAACAGGAAUAAUGUGAGAUAUAUAAACAUAUGAGGAUUUACAGUAUGGGCUUACAAUGUCAGUCUACAAAGUCAGGUGUGCAAGAGAGCUGUCUGUCUGCUGG
rnacentral:lncRNA from 1 species